rnacentral:rRNA from 1 species
AACUAACGCUGGCGGCGUGCCUAACACAUGCAAGUCGUACGAGAAAGUCCGCUUCGGUGGAUCAGUAAAGUGGCGCACGGGUGAGUAACGCGUGGAUAAUCUACCCCUCAGUUGGGAAUAACGUACCGAAAGGUGCGCUAAUACCGAAUGACACUGCACAUCUUCUGUUGUGUAGUCAAAGAUGGCCUCUGCUUGCAAGCUUUCGCUGAAGGAUGAGUCCGCGUACCAUUAGCUAGUUGGUAGGGUAAUGGCCUACCAAGGCAACGAUGGUUAGCUGGUAUGGGAGGAUGAUCAGCCACACUGGAACUGAGACACGGUCCAGACUCCUACGGGAGGCAGCAGUGAGGAAUAUUGCGCAAUGGGGGCAACCCUGACGCAGCAACGCCGCGUGAGUGAGGAAGGUUUUCGGACCGUAAAGCUCUGUCGAGCGGGAAGAAAUGCACGAUGGCUAAUAUCCAUCAUGCUUGACGGUACCGCUAAAGGAAGCACCGGCUAACUCCGUGCCAGCAGCCGCAGUAAUAC